rnacentral:lncRNA from 1 species
UGCCACUUUCCAUUCUGGAAGAGUACUAAGUAGUGGGGCAAAACAAGUCCUUCCACAAGCUGUCCACUCUGCAGAAAGUAAGCUGGAUUGUGGAUGAUGUGGAUCAAUGGUCUUGGCCUAGAUCUCAUAAUAAACAUUUUCAAGGGCUGGGACCCAGACUCGAACCCAGGUCCUCCAGAGUGGAAAGCUGAAGCAUUUCCAUUGGACCAAUCUGGCCAGCUCAACUAUACUUGGAUACUGGUGGAAGACAUUUUAAGUACAUCUUUGAUUAGUUUUUGCUUGUUGAUUAGGCUCUGUUUUUAAUUUAUUGAUUUGGGGGAUUUUGUUUUGGUGUUGGC